GGCUCUGUAGCUCAAUUGGAUAGAGCAUCUGACUACGGAUCAGAAGGUUAGGGGUUCGACUCCCUUCAGGGUCA
rnacentral:tRNA from 3 species